GAUGAACGCUGGCGGCGUGCCUAAUACAUGCAAGUCGAGCGAACAGAUGAGGAGCUUGCUCCUCUGACGUUAGCGGCGGACGGGUGAGUAACACGUGGAUAACCUACCUAUAAGACUGGGAUAACUUCGGGAAACCGGAGCUAAUACCGGAUAAUAUAUUGAACCGCAUGGUUCAAUAGUGAAAGACGGUUUUGCUGUCACUUAUAGAUGGAUCCGCGCCGCAUUAGCUAGUUGGUAAGGUAACGGCUUACCAAGGCAACGAUGCGUAGCCGACCUGAGAGGGUGAUCGGCCACACUGGAACUGAGACACGGUCCAGACUCCUACGGGAGGCAGCAGUAGGGAAUCGUCGGCAAUGGGCGAAAGCUUGAAGGAGCAACGCCGCGUGAGUGAAGAAGGUCUUCGGAUCGUAAAACUCUGUUAUUAGGGAAGAACAAAUGUGUAAGUAACUAUGCACGUCUUGACGGUACCUAAGCAGAAAGCCACGGCUAACUACGUG
rnacentral:rRNA from 1 species